rnacentral:misc_RNA from 1 species
UUAAGUUCAGCGGGUAGUCCUACCUGAUUUGAGGCCAAAUAAUAAAAUAGUCAUGCACCCAGUAAAGGGGAAACUGGUUAGAAAGCAGACAAUCGUUGAGAAAAUGGCCACCCCGAAAGAUGUCCUUAGCGAAAUACUUAUUACGCCAAGUCAAACCAGUUUUCACAAACAAGUCCAGCUAAUACAUUCAAGGUGAGCCA